rnacentral:rRNA from 1 species
GACGAACGCUGGCGGCGUGCUUAACACAUGCAAGUCGAACGGAAAGGCCCUGCUUUUGUUGGGUGCUCGAUUGGCGAACGGGGGAGUAACACGUGAGUAACCUGCCCUUGACUGUGGGAUAACUUCAGGAAACUCGGGCUAAUAUCGGAUAGGAGCUCCUGAUGCACGGGGGGGGUUGGAAAGUUUCGGCGUUUCGGUAAGGACUCGCGGCUUACCAGCUAGUUUGGGGGGUAGUGGUUUACAACGGCUUUGAAGGGUAGCCGGCAUGGGAGCGGUGCCGGCGACCUGGGGCCUGAGAUACGGCCCAGACUCCUACGUGAGGCAACGGUGGGAAACAUUGCACAGUGGGCGGAAGCCUGAGGCGGAAACCCCGCGUGCGUGAUGCCGGCCUUUGAGGUGUAAACCGCUUUCGAAUGAACCGAAGCGUGAGUGACGGUAAUGAGUAAAGAAGCACCGGCUAACUACGUG